AUGAGCUCUUCUCCAGGAUCAGUGAUUGUACUCUUCUUCUUACUUGGAGGAAGCAAUGGAAACACAGUGACCCAGACAGAAGGCCAAGUGACCCUCUCUGAAGGGAUCUAUCUGAUGCUGAACUGCUCCUAUACUUCUACUGGGUACCCGAGUCUUUUCUGGUACGUUCAAUAUCCCAAUGAAGGUCUCCAGCUUCUUCUGAAAGCCACCAAGGCUGAUGAGAAGGGACGUAACAAAGGCUUUGAAGCCACAUACAAGAAAGAAACAUCUUCCUUCCACCUGGAGAAAGCCGCAGUGCAAGAGUCAGACUCGGCUGUGUACUACUGUGUGCUGAGUGACACAGUGACAGGAGCUGCAGGGGGAGCCGAGCACAAACUCUGA